UAGGGAAUCUUCCGCAAUGGACGAAAGUCUGACGGAGCAACGCCGCGUGAGUGAAGAAGGAUUUCGGUUCGUAAAACUCUGUUGUUAGGGAAGAAAAAAUGUAUAGUAACUAUAUACAAAAGAGACGGUACCUAACCAGAAAGCCACGGCUAACUACGUGCCAGCAGCCGCGGUAAUACGUAGGUGGCAAGCGUUGUCCGGAAUUAUUGGGCGUAAAGCGCGCGCAGGUGGUUUAGAAAGUCUGAUGUGAAAGCCCACGGCUCAACCGUGGGGGGUCAUUGGAAACUAAUAAACUUGAGUGCAGGAGAGAAAAGUGGAAUUCCUAGUGUAGCGAUGAAAUGCGUAGAGAUUAGGAGGAACACCGGUGGCGAAAGCGGCUUUUUGGCCUGCAACUGACACUGAGGCGCGAAAGCGUGGGGAGCAAACAGG
rnacentral:rRNA from 1 species